GAUCAUUACCUAGAGUUGUGGGCUUUGCCUGCUAUCUCUUACCCAUGUCUUUUGAGUACUUACGUUUCCUCGGUGGGUUSGCCCGCCGAUUGGACAAUUUAAACCCUUUGCAGUUGCAAUCAGCGUCUGAAAAACAUAAUAGUUACAACUUUCAACAACGGAUCUCUUGGUUCUGGCAUCGAUGAAGAACGCAGCGAAAUGCGAUAAGUAGUGUGAAUUGCAGAAUUCAGUGAAUCAUCGAAUCUUUGAACGCACAUUGCGCCCCUUGGUAUUCCAUGGGGCAUGCCUGUUCGAGCGUCAUUUGUACCUUCAAGCUUUGCUUGGUGUUGGGUGUUUGUCUCGCCUUUGCGUGUAGACUCGCCUUAAAACAAUUGGCAGCCGGCGUAUUGAUUUCGGAGCGCAGUACAUCUCGCGCUUUGCACUCAUAACGACGACGUCCAAAAGUACUUUUUUACACUCUUGACCUCGGAUCAGGUAGGGAUACCCGCUUG
rnacentral:rRNA from 1 species